rnacentral:tRNA from 1 species
UAGGAUGGCCGAGUGCUAGGCGGUGGAUUGUAGCCCCACAGACAGAGGCUAAAACCCUCUUCUUAC